rnacentral:rRNA from 1 species
ACGUAGGUGGCAAGCGUUGUCCGGAAUUAUUGGGCGUAAAGGGCGCGUAGGCGGAUAUUUAAGUCUGUCGUAAAAAUGCGGGGCUCAACCCCGUAGUGUCGAUGGAAACUGGAUAUCUUGAGAGCAGGAGAGGAAAGUAGAAUUCCCAGUGUAGCGGUGAAAUGCGUAGAUAUUGGGAGGAAUACCAGUGGCGAAGGCGGCUUUCUGGACUGUUUCUGACGCUGAGGCGCGAAAGCUAGGGGAGCGAACGG